rnacentral:tRNA from 1 species
GCCUCGGAUAGCUUAUCUGGUAGAGCCUUUGGCAUGUAACCGAACGAUCCGGGCUUGAGUCCCGGUCCAGGCU